AGAAAAACUAAAGAGGGUGGUUGGAAGCCUCAGUUCUCAAGUUGUAUUUCUGUGGCGAUUUUAACAAAACCAGCCCAGUAGUGCUCCCGCUUCUUCCCCGUUCAUUUUUCCCAAGUCGCGGCCGAGGGGAAGGUGUUUCUAGACUGCAGCAAAAUUCAGAUUACUUGCCUGUGAAAAUUUUUGCUGCUUCCCAAAGCAAAAUUUUACGAGCUCCAGUUUUAUCUGUGCUCCAUGCUCUUCCUUCAGCACAUUAUCCAUCUUAUGUGGGCCUGCAGGUAAAUCACACCGUAAUGACUUGAGAAAAAAAAAAAAAAGGAUAAGUUGUUAUAAAAUGAAAUUACGUGUUCUAUGUUCUCCCAUUUUUGUCAAAAUACUUUUUUCUUGUUUAGUGAUGAAUACUGGUAAUAAACUGCAGGGAAAGCAAGUUAUUGACCAAAUUUUGAAAAUACAUCCUGUUUAGAAACCUGUCCAAAAAAAGAAAAUUAUUCUGUACUUGAGGAUCUGAUAUUUUUCCACACAUCUUCAUCUCUAUGUAGAUGAUUGCCAUUCAUAGCCCAUGGAAAGAAAGUCUUGACACCACUGAAAUAAAGUUAUGUAUGGGGUUGUUAAUAAGGUACUGGCCUUCCUUUCACUCUCAGUGAAAUUCCAGGUGUCUGCUUUAACUGAUGUGAAAGCCAAAAAGGUAACUCUCAUAACAGAGAACACUGGGAGAAAUGAGAAUUCUGAUGCUGUGCAUUAUAGGCUUGAAUAUUUAAUUGAGAUCAUCUUAGUUCUUGGCAGCUUUGGUGAAAUGCCCAUGAGCAAGGCAGUUAUAUUUAAGAUAUAAUCACAGGGUAUGUAAGCUGAUGUCCUUUUGGCCAGUGUUUCCUUUGUGAAGGAAGCUUUGUGCAAGCUUUUGGGUGCAAAGCUACGUGUUGUUGUGAGCAGAAAAGCCUGCCAGCUCGGGGUCUAUUUCAUGGAAAAGUGAAAACUGUUGUUCUUGGUUUAAUAU